UCGAGAGCUUUCGGAGCUCGGCAUACUGCUCAGUAACACGUGGGUAACCUGCCCUGUGCUGGGGGAUAACCUCGGGAAACUGAGAACAAUACCCCAUAGUCCACUACGCCUGGAACGGUGAGUGGAUCAAAGCUCCGGCGGCAUAGGAUGGGCCUGCGGCGUAUCAGGUUGUAGGGGGUGUAACGUACCCUCUAGCCAUCCACGCGUACGGGUGUUGGGAGACAUUGCCCGGAGAUGGAUUCUGAGACACGAAUCCAGACCCUACGGGGUGCAGCAGGCGCGAAAACUUGGCAAUGCGAGAAAUCGUGACCAGGGAACUCCAAGUGGCAGGGGUAAGACCCUGUCUUUUUCCGACUCUAAAUAGGUCGGCGAAUAAGGGGUGGGUAAGGACGGUGCCAGCCGCCGCGGUAAUACCGGCGCCUCAAGUGGUAGUCGCUUUUAUUGGGCCUAAAACGUCCGUAGCCGGUCUGGUACAUUCGUGGGUAAAUCAACUCGCUUAACGAGUUGAAUUCUGCGAGGACGGCCAGACUUGGGACCGGGAGAGGUGUGGGGUACUCUCAGGGUAGGGGUAAAAUCCUGUCAUCCUGAGAGGACCACCUGUUGCGAAGGCUCCACACUAGAACGGAUCCGACGGUCAGGGACGAAGCCUAGGGGCACGAACCGGAUUAGAUACCCGGGUAGUCCUA
rnacentral:rRNA from 1 species